CAAGGUGUCACCACCAUGGAAUCAGGAAGGAGAGAAACAGAGAUAAGAGAAGGUGGAAAAACGAUACCGAUAAUGCGCGCGUGGGUGUACUACGAAGCACGUGUUUCUUAUUCCCGGUGCAUACACUAGGAGGGACAGCCUGACGAAGCGCCAGUUGCACAGCUUGCGCGUACUGCGUGUGGGAUUUACUAAUUUCUGGAAGGACUGGAAUGGCACGAG
rnacentral:misc_RNA from 1 species